rnacentral:rRNA from 1 species
GACAGAGGGGGCAAGCGUUGCUCGGAAUUACUGGGCGUAAAGGGCGCGUAGGCGGGAUGGCAAGUCGGUCGUGAAAUCCCUCGGCUCAACCGAGGGACGUCGAUCGAUACUGCUGUUCUUGAGGAUUGCAGAGGAGACUGGAAUUCCCGGUGUAGCGGUGAAAUGUGUAGAGAUCGGGAGGAACACCGGUGGCGAAGGCGGGUCUCUGGGCAAUUCCUGACGCUGAGGCGCGAAAGCGUGGGGAGCAAACGGG